rnacentral:piRNA from 1 species
UGCAGCCAAGCCUGCGCGAUGAGGUC